rnacentral:rRNA from 1 species
AUUGAACGCUGGCGGCAGGCCUAACACAUGCAAGUCGAACGAGUGGCGGACGGGUGAGUAAUGUCUGGGAAACUGCCUGAUGGAGGGGGAUAACUACUGGAAACGGUCGCUAAUACCGCACACCAUCAGAUUUGCCCAGAUGGGUUUAGCUUGUUGGUGGGGUAACGGCGCACCAAAGCGAUGAGCCCUAACUGGUCUGAGAGGAUGACCAGCCACACUGGAACUGAGACACGGUCCAGACGCUGAGGAUAGGCAGCAGUGGGGAAUAGUGCACAAUGGGCGCAAGCCUGAUACAGCCAUGCCGAGAGUAUGAAGAGAGCCUUCGGAUUGGAAAGUACUGUCGGCGGGGAGGGGUUACCCGCAGAAGAAGCAACGGCUAACUCCGUGCCAGCCGCCGCGGGAAUUC